UGGGGAAUAUUGCACAAUGGGCGCAAGCCUGAUGCAGCAACGCCGCGUGAGGGAUGACGGCCUUCGGGUUGUAAACCUCUUUUAGCAGGGAAGAAGCGAAAGUGACGGUACCUGCAGAAAAAGCACCGGCUAACUACGUGCCAGCAGCCGCGGUAAUACGUAGGGUGCAAGCGUUGUCCGGAAUUAUUGGGCGUAAAGAGCUCGUAGGCGGUCUGUCGCGUCUGCUGUGAAAUCCCGAGGCUCAACCUCGGGCCUGCAGUGGGUACGGGCAGACUAGAGUGCGGUAGGGGAGAAUGGAACUCCUGGUGUAGCGGUGGAAUGCGCAGAUAUCAGGAAGAACACCGAUGGCGAAGGCAGUUCUCUGGGCCGUAACUGACGCUGAGGAGCGAAAGCGUGGGGAGCGAACAGGAUUAGAUACCCUGGUAGUCCACGCCGUAAACGUUGGGCGCUAGAUGUGGGGACCAUUCCACGGUUUCCGUGUCGCAGCUAACGCAUUAAGCGCCCCGCCUGGGGAGUACGGCCGCAAGGCUAAAACUCAAAUGAAUUGACGGGGUCAUAGCUG
rnacentral:rRNA from 1 species